AUUGGUAUUGAUGUAUCCUCCGGACAGUUAAUUCAAUAGCCAAGUGUAUUUGGGUAUGUAUGGCUGAUAGUAGAAAAAAAGACUGCAAUCUUCUUCAGGCUUCACUGUACAGAAAAAAAAAAAAAAAAAAAUUAAAAAAAAAUAAAAAGGGGAGGUUGUGUCACAUUUUUAAAGCCUGGCGUUUGAAAUACAUGUUGUACGCAAUUUGCACCAGCUACUGCCAUAAAUAACACUUCUCCCCUAGAAACUUAUUGUAGCUAAAGUUGGAACCCCAAACUUUCAGCUAUUUCCUUUACUUCUCUUCACUCUGACCUUCAGAGCCUUACAAAGGAUGUCUUCUGAAAACUUGUUUUUUUUCUCCUCUGAAACACUUUGUCAGAAUGAAAUCUAUCCGCUAGCUCUAUAAGUCAAGGCAGCUUUUACCAGUAUAGUUACUGCAUUGCUCAUCUAAUGGACUGCUGUGUAAGUGGGACGAUAUUCUAAAAUACUGGGCAUUUCCUGUUUUAUAAGUGAAGUGUGUUAGACACCACUCACUGUAUUUCCCAACUGUUGGUUUCUUUUAUAAUGAUAAUAGCAGCUUUAGAAAAGUUAUUUGCAGAUACUACUUUCUUUCUUUUUUUCUGUUUUUCUGUCACAGUCUUGCUCUGGCAUUACCAAUUUGGAAAGCAACUGCAGCCUAAAAAGCAAUCAUUUGCAAUGACAUUGGAACAUACAGAGAAUUUUAAAAGGUGCCUCUAUUGGAGAUUGCUAUGUUAAAAAAAAAAAAAAAAAAAAAAAAAACUGAAAUGAAAAGCCACUUACCUUUCUUUCAAAGUUUCACAACAAAUGCGUCCUUGACAAAUGUGUGGAGGGUAACUACAGAAGGAAAAGUUACCUUAGCAAAGCAAGAACUAAGCUGCUUGAAAUGAGCUAUAGCACUGCACUGCAAGUACUUGUGAGUGGAGUGGGGGAAUGGUGUUUAGAGCCAGCCAUUCCUUAUGGGCGAGUUCUCCUUGUGGUCCUCUGUAGAGCUAGGACCUUAAAAACAAGUGGAAAGGCAUCUGGGAAGAUGUGUCAGCCCAAUAACCAUUUCUGGGUCAAAAUCCUGAUUGCUAUCCCCUGGCCAGGGCAGCCUUUUGGAGCUGCACUAUCAGAGAAUGGGGUUGCAGGACCAGAGAACCACUACAAGGUUUCAAGUGUGAAUAUGAGACUUCCUGAAGAUAUGCCCUGCCUGCAGGUUCUUGGCUUCCUAGGCAAAAGUAUCCUCCCAUUCUUGAGAGGGGUUUUCCUAUUCUCAGGUACAGCUGUUUUUAAUGUGGUUGAAAUAUUAUGAAAGGCCCUUCACUCAAGCCAUCAGUGAACUUCCUCAGCAGGAGGCGUUUUCAUAUCUACGCACAAGAAGUGCCGUCCAAGUGGCCACGAUGAUGAUGGUGCUUUGUUAGCUGUCUGGCUCUCCUCUCCUGUGCCCCCCGGUCCCCCGACAGACACGCAAGUGUCCGUGUGCUCCUCUCCUCAUUGAAGUCCUCGCAGGCACAUCCUCUAACAAGCCGCGCUUUCUCUUGCCACGCCAACCUGUCAGGGGACGCGGUCACAGCCAGCAGCAGUGGCACUACAGGCUGUUAUUAAGCCGGGAUGAGCACAAAUAGACCCAGAGUCGGUCUGACAAUUUUACUUUUGUUUUAAGGGCCAGCAGGAAAAUUAAGGGGGAAAGGAUGGCGUAGAAAAACAGGAUAAUUUUUUGUCAGGACAUUGAAAUCAACUGGGUAUUUUUUGCAUGUUCGCAUUAUUUAUCUCCUUGCUUUUUGCUCAAUUGUGGGCUGAUUUAUAGGAGAAGAAUUUAAAAUAAAAAGGCAGUAAGUUCAAUAUAGCAAGAACCAGACAGGGACUAUUCAGCUGAUGAAGACUGCCCUCCUCUUGAGCUGUGGGGGCAAAUCUGCAUUUGCCAGGUGCAAACUGGGUUUCAUGCACAGGCCACCCCCACCCACGCACACUCAUGAAGGCCUGAUUUUCCAGCAAAUUUACUGCUUUCAGAAAGCAUCACAGCCUUUCCCUUGCCAGCCCUUCCAGUGUCCCAGCCCCACAGUGUGCAGACUGGAGGCACACGAGCCUCCAUCCUGCGCCCAGCAGCACUGUUAUGUGGCACUGCAGGGUCCCCUGGUUGCUCCUGUCCCCGGUGAGGUUUGUCUGGUAGAAAGACAUAGCCUUAUUGUCCUCAAAGCACAGCAGCAGUGGACCUGUGAUAACAGGAGCAUGAUAAAUAGACACUAAUGUGUCCUGCUAGACAGAAUAAUGAGAUUACAUACGAGCUGCCAUAUCAUAUCAAUUAAACCCUCAGCCCUUUUAGUUCAGCAAAUCCAUCCUGCUGCAGUAGUCAGUGCUUUGGGGAGAAGGGGUGGAGGGGGCAGCACUGCCUAAACACACAUCCUGCCCAAAAUAGCCCCGCUGCUGCUCACCCAGGCAGCAGGCAAGGCUCCCAGGAGCACCACGGCUCUGAGCACUGCCAGCUCUGGGGUCCUCGUCCCAAAAGGAGCGGGGUGGGAUGGUGCCAACCAGCUGCCUUGCAGGCUGCAGAGAUGCUGGAGCCAUCUGUGCCAGCAGACUAGGAAGCAUGGUCAUGUCCUUCUGUCCAGGUCCCCUGGCUCCAGCUGACGGCAGUGUUCAUCCCACUUGGGUGACAGUAUGCAGCAUCCUGAGUGAUCUCUCUGUGACAACUAAAGUGCACACAGUACAGGCUUGCCAGGCCCAGUGUCCCCUGUAAUGCAACUCUUUCCCAUGGCAGACACGACGCCUGCCUUGGGCAAACCUGGCACGUGAAGAGCCAGGAGGUAAAGCAAAGCACUCAGCAGAAAACAUCCUGAUCUUUCGCCCCAUUGCCCCGCUCUAUGGGACUGUCAUAUACUCAGGGGUGUGCAUCUCUAAUGGUGCAUCUGUGGGCUUAAUUAGAUGUAUUUUGGCUAUUCACUCAAAUUGUUAUGUAAUGUUGCUCAGACUCUGUUGUCAUGAGAUAGCCACACACGUACUUUGAGGAAUGGUUUAAAUAUAACCCACUGAAAUUUAUUUAUUUACUUAUUUAUUUAAUUUGGGCAAUAUAAAAUGCCAGGAGAUCAGGAAUGAUUUUUUUUUUCCAUCUGACCUGUUUUGGAUGAGCACAGUUGAGCUGCACUUACUGUCCCCCAGAUACUUACCCUAAGAACCGGGGGGGGGGGGGGGGGGGGGGGGGGAUGUAAAACCUUCCAGCUCUUUCUUCAAAUGCUUUCAGCACGUCUCUUGCCUAGAAAGGUUUAUCAGAUUGUUCCAAAAGCAUAAAAACAAAGCAAAUCCUGGUUCCCUAUCCAUUUCAAUACUAAGGCUGGAUUUACUAAUAUCUAAGAAGAUGUGAGCUCUAGGUGAUGUCUGCUCUUGGUGUCUCUUUCCCAUAUGAGUCCACCGGUGACAUCAGUAUAAUUUGCUGCAGCAAACCUCUGCAAACCAAGCCUUCUUGUCCCACCUGUUGUCAGCUUCCCACAACCUGGAAGGCCUGGGAAGGAAAUAACAAUGGAAAAAAAAAUAAUAAUAAAAUAAAUAGAUGAUAAUAGUAAAACAAACAAACAAACAAACAGUGGUUGCCAAUAGAGCCACUCAAAACUUUCAGGAAAUGUGAUGGGGUGUCUGUGAAAUAAGACCACCCCCUGUGUCACACCCAGGUAGUGUGCCAUUCCCCCUGCUUUGGACAUGGUGUGGGUGUCCAGGACUGACUUCUCCAUUGUCAUCACUGGUGCACUGGCUACCAUGGUCCCCUGUCAAGUGAGAUGUGGGGCCUGGCUCACGCUUAAGGGCUGAAGUGGAUGUCCAGCUGUGGGAGGUGGAGGAGCAGAAAGCAGAAGGAAGUGAGGAUUGUGCAGAGGAUUAAACAGCCAAGAAAAAGUCGGGGUAUAAACUGAUUGGAAGCGACCUACAGCAAAGGGCAAGAGAAAAAAAAAAAAAAUAGAUAAAGGGAAUCAAGGAUAACUCUGAGAGGAAACUGAAGAUGAAAAGAUCAAGUCUGCUGAACACAGAAUUGCAUUCUGGUCACGCACAGCACCAUUUCUCAGGUGGGUUAGCUAGUGCCAGGGACAAAGCUUUUACUCCCUGCUGCAAGGUGUAAGGUGGCAAAGGUUACAGCUACACAGUAAAGAUGCAUGCAUGACACUGGUUUCUAAACCAAGGGGUUUUGCUACCUGAAAGGGCUGUAUUGCUUUAAAAAUUCAGUAUAUUCAGUCUUGUUUUUAAAACAGGAUUUAAAUGCAACCAGAUUACAGUAAAAAUAGUUACAAUGAAUUAUCAUUUUUCUAGAGAGGGAUGGUGCAAUGGAGGAAAGAAAAAAUGCAGUGAUUGCUGCCCCGAGGAUGGCAAUGCCUGACAGCUCUAUGUGUCCCAGUUGCUGGCAAGAUACCCCGGUAACAUCAGAAG
ensembl:lncRNA